rnacentral:rRNA from 5 species
GUCAGCGACCAUGGCAGGGGAGGCACACCCGGUCCCAUUCCGAACCCGGAAGUUAAGCCCCCGAGCGCCGAUGGUACUGCGGAGUCAGUCCGUGGGAGAGCAGGACGUCGCUGACC